rnacentral:rRNA from 1 species
AUUGAACGCUGGCGGCAGGCCUAACACAUGCAAGUAGAACGCAGUUGCGCACGGGUGAGUAACGCGUAGGUAACCGCCUCAUAGCGGGGGAUAACUAUUGGAAACGAUAGCUAAUACCGCAUACUGUGAGAUGGACCUGCGUUGUAUUAGCUAGUUGGUGAGGUAAAGGCUCACCAAGGCGACGGUACAUAGCCGGCCUGGGAGGGAGGUCGGGCAACAUGGGAAUGAGACACGGGCCAGACUCCCUAGGGAGGCAGCAGGAGGGAAAUUUCGGCAAAGGGCGGAAGUCUGAACGAGCAAAGCCGCGGGAGUGAAGAAGGUUUUCGGAUCGUAAAGCUCUGUUGUUAGAGGAGCGGUAACUAACCAGAAAGGGACGGCUAACUACGUGCCAGCAGCCGCGGUAAUAC